rnacentral:rRNA from 1 species
UACAGAGGGUGCUAGCGUUAAUCGGAUUUACUGGGCGUAAAGCGUGCGUAGGCGGUUGGGUAAGUCGGAUGUGAAAGCCCUGGGCUUAACCUGGGAAUGCCAUUCGAUACUGCCCGACUCGAGUUCGGUAGAGGGCGGUGGAACUCCAGGUGUAGCGGUGAAAUGCGUAGAUAUCUGGAAGAACACCAAUGGCGAAGGCAACCGCCUGGGCCUGAACUGACGCUGAGGCACGAAAGCGUGGGGAGCAAACAGG